CGUCUCUAAGUGGAGAGAACGCGGCUUCGAUCGAUUUCUUCCUUUGCUCCGCCGCGCCAGCGUGUAGUGAAUCGAGGUGAGAGAUUCGUGUUGCAGCGCUCGCAGCGUCGAUUUCUGGAAAUUUCGGCCCCCUUGAUUGGAAUCCUUUGCGUCUAGCAGUCUCGGAUUAGAACAGGAUGAGUCGCUACGAUGGCCGCUACAGUGAUCCAUCCUCGUACCGAGACCGGAAAAGUGAUUUUGGAAGCAGCUAUGGCGGUGGAAGCCGGAAGAAGGAUUUCGAUUCCAUGGUCCUCCCGAAAGAGCAGUUCGACAAUUUGUCCCCGUUCGAGAAGAACUUUUACAUCGAGCAUCCAUCUGUGGCAGCGCUAACGGAUGACGAGGUUGUGGAUUUUCGGAGGCGAAAGGACAUCACCGUCCAGGGUAGAAAUGUCCCAAAGCCUGUCCGGAGUUUUGCCGAGGCUUCAUUUCCAGACUAUGUUCUCCAGGAAGUUCUCAAAGCCGGUUUCAAGGAGCCCACCGCCAUUCAAGCUCAAGGAUGGCCCAUGGCUUUGAAAGGGAGGGAUCUAGUAGGACUUGCAGAAACGGGAUCUGGGAAAACUCUUGCAUACCUUCUACCUGCAAUCGUCCAUGUAAAUGCACAGCCUUAUCUUGCACCCGGCGACGGUCCCAUUGUGCUGGUGCUAGCUCCUACACGGGAGUUGGCUGUUCAAAUUCAACAAGAGUCUGCUAAGUUUGGUUCCUCGUCAAAGAUCAAAAGCACUUGCAUUUAUGGUGGAGCUCCAAAGGGACCUCAGAUUCGUGACUUGCAAAGAGGGGUCGAAAUUGUCAUAGCUACCCCGGGACGCCUCAUCGACAUGCUUGAAGGCCGACAUACUAACCUUCGGAGGGUGACAUAUUUGGUGCUGGAUGAAGCUGAUAGAAUGCUGGACAUGGGCUUUGAGCCUCAAAUCAGAAAGAUAGUUGGACAGAUUAGGCCAGACCGCCAGACGCUUUACUGGAGCGCAACAUGGCCUAAAGAUGUCGAGCAGUUGGCUAAUCAAUUUUUGCAUGAUCCCUACAAGGUGACAAUAGGCUCUUCCUCUCUAAAGGCGAACCAUUCUAUCGCUCAGCAUGUUGAAGUUGUUAAUGACUACGAGAAGUAUCAAAAACUGAUCAAGUUGCUGGACGAGUUCAUGGAUGGAGGAAAGAUUCUCAUAUUCAUGGAAACGAAACGCGGAUGUGACCAAGUAACUAAGCAGCUGCGAAUGGAAGGCUGGCCAGCUCUCUCGAUUCACGGGGACAAGAGCCAGGCAGAGCGCGACUGGGUUCUGUCCGAGUUUAAGACCGGCAAGAGCCCGAUCAUGACCGCAACUGACGUUGCAGCUCGCGGCCUAGUUUCCUGAUGGCGCGAUUGUGGCUUGGCGGCCAUGCCGGAGGGAUGUGUUCGGGAUGGAUGAAACGUUCAAGCUUCCGCCGCCAUGCUGCUGUCCGCAUUUCCAGAGCUGGACACAUUCUACAGCCUAGUCGAGUUUCAUCAUGGGUGACGGCUUCGGUAAAGAAGAGAGUUUACUCGUUUUUCCUUUUCCUUCCGUCGCUAAAAAACUCAAGCUUUUUCUUUCGGUGCCCAGAGCGAGGGGAGGUUUCGUUUAGCCUUGUGCUCCUCGUUUUCUGCUCCAUUUUUUCUCAUUACCAAGUUACUGACUCGUGGCCUUUUGUUGUCAAACAGAUGUCAAGGACAUCAGAUAUGUGAUCAACUACGACUUCCCUGGCUCUUGCGAGGACUACGUGCAUCGCAUCGGAAGAACAGGCCGAGCUGGUGCAAAGGGAACGGCGUACACGUUUUUCACCGUGUCAAACGCCAAGCACGCCAGGGAGCUGGUGUCCAUUCUCUCGGAGGCUGGGCAGCGUAUAACCCCGGAGCUCCAGUCGAUGGUGAAUUGCUCCAGAGGAUUUGGAGGAGGAGUUGGCUUUCGUGAUCGAGGCCGCGGAUUUGGAAGGGGCCCCGCGCAAUCUGGAUCGAAUGCUGUUCCUCUAGGCAGCAAUCGUCCCUGGGGUCGAUAGAUUCUCGCUAGCGCUCGCGCUUUUUUACACUCGUUUUCUCCAAGUGGGAAAGAUUUUUGGUGUUGCAGCACUGAACUAAAGUUCUCCAAAAUAGAAUUUUAGAAAGAUCCCUUUCCUCCCGCCAAA